CGGGGCGUGGCGCAGUUGGCUAGCGCACUUGCAUGGGGUGCAAGGGGUCGAAAGUUCGAGUCUUUUCGCCCCGA
rnacentral:tRNA from 2 species